CGCCAGUUGCACACGUGAACUUUCCAGUUAAAUCGGUAGAACAUUUUGUUCGGCCCCAAAACCUUCCGGUGAAAGGGGCUCGAACAUCUAGAGAUUGGGUUGCUUUUGUUGCUAACUCAAAGCCAGUUCUUGACUGUUGAGGCCUAUUACCACCGGUAAGGGUUGCUGGCCAAACUGUGUAUGGACAAUUGUUUGUGAAAGUUAUUGUUGCCUGGUGAACUCCUACAAUUGUACAUCAUUGCAUGAUUAGAUAUUAAUAAUUAAACCAACGAUUAUAUAUAUGUGUGUAUAUACAUAAAUACAUGUAACUAAAAUGUAUGUUUAAUUACUUUCCAUUUCAUAAUUUUUCUAUAUAUACUAGCGAAAAAAAAUUGAAAAUUAAUUCACUUAUGCACUAUAAAUUUAUCGCAGAUGUUAGCUAUAUAUAUAUAUUGUUAUUCUAAUGAAGAAGAAGAAAAAGACACUUAAAAUAAGAAAUGCCUUGCAACCAUUGUGGUUGAAACUCUUGGUAGUCAAAAAAAAAAAAAAAAAAAAAAAAAGUGCUUUAUGUGAUAAGUUAUGUGCAUAAGAUGAAUUUAUAUAUAUAUAUACACACACACACGCACCUACACAUAGCAGAUGAAUAAAUUAAGAAAGUACCAUAAAAGAGAAAAGUGAAGGUAAGGCUCAAGAGGGCUAGAGUUUUCAUUGUUGAAUUUUUUGGAAUGGUUAGUUAGAAGGGAAUGUAUUGGCAUAUAUAGCCUCCAAGAAUUGGAAAAUUCGACGGCGUAUGCUUUAGGGCAGACUAAAUAAGUUGUAUUCCAUUAGCAUCAGCUAUAGUGUUCUUGGUUUUUUUUUUUUUUUUUUUUUUUUUUUUUUAAGAUUUGAAGAGAAAUGAAAAUGGAAUGAAAAAAGAAUGUGUAUCGGAAAUUUUUAAUGGAAUAAAAGUGCAGUAUGAUUGUCAAAUCUCUAAAAUUUAAAUUUUUAUAUUUUUAUAUUUAUAUAUAUUUUUGCAUUUGGAUCAAGAGUGGUAUUUAAACAUAGCCCUUUCAACAGAAAUAAUAAUUAAUUUUAUAUUCUAAUUUAAAAAAAAGAGUGCAUUUAUCAAAUAAUUAACUUUUAAAUAUUACUUAUUAUCAAUAAAAGAAAGAAUUUCAAAAUAUUAAAAAUGAUAAUAGAGAUUGUCUUUACUAUUAACUCAAACUCUCUCAUCCACAAAAAUGUAUUAAGUUAAUCCAAGCUCAAGGUUAAAAGUGAACUUAUUUUUUAUUUACAAUUUAAAUCUUAAUUAUAAUUUAAGAUGCUAUUACAACAAAAUUAAUAAAUUUAUUAUUUAACUAGGAGGUCAACAGGUCCAUGUCCAUUUAACGGUCUACACAAUCUGAAUAUUUUUCAUUCGAUUCAAAAGGCAGGGGAACUAAGUCAUUAAACAAUCACAUAAUAAAUUUACAGGCUAACUGUAGAUAAAAAUUUUAGAGAAAUGAACGUCUCAUAUAAAAACUCAUCAUUUUCACAAGAAGCAAUUUUCUUCAAUCCACAAAGGAAGUAGAAGUAAUUAAAUAUUAUGUGUUAUUGCAAACUCCAAAUGCAAAUAAAAGUGACUAAAAUAAAGAUGAAAAUUAAUAAGUGGGAAUUGUAUUGAAUAGUACUAAGAAUUAAGAAAAUGACAAGUCACAGAGAAUUUGUCCACUAUAAAAAAUGAUUUUAAUAUUUUUAAUAAAUAUACUAAAAUAUUAAUUUUUUUCUCCAAAUUUAAGGAAGCCUAUUGUGCCCUUGGCCCAUUCAAGGUCCGUCUUUGGCCACAAAUGCCGAAGCAAAGUUAAUCUUAUAACAAAAAAAAUAGUGGCUGCACCUACUAGUUGUGGUUAAAUUGGCAACGCAGUCCAAAUAUAUAGAAAGAGCUCUCGGAUUUGAUUCUCAUUAAAUAUACAUGCAGGGAAUGGUGAAAAGCCUUAACUGUGACUAAAUUUCAAGCCGAAUUAGACGGUCCCUGGUAAUAAGAUCCGGAUAGCUUUAACUGUGACUAAACUCUGAGCUGGAUUAGAUGGUAUCUGGUAAUAGGUUCCGGAUAACCUUAACUGUGAUUAAGUUUACGCUGGAUUAGGCGGUCCUGGUAAUAGGGUUCGAAUACUGAUGGUUUACACUAAAAAAAUAGUAGCUUCAAAAAUCAAACCCUAACUAAUAUAUCUACUGACAUGAUCCUUAUUUUAAAAUUGCCGGUUUUCAAUUUCAGAACCAAUUGUAGAUUAAAAACAUUUUGAAGUGUUUAAUAAAAUACUCUUAAAAGUUGAAGUGUUUAAUAAGUGUAAUUUUAUUAGUUAAAGUAUUUAAUAUAUCAAAGUAAAAAUUGAGGAUGUCGCAAGGUUAAAUUCACAAAGUUCAGAUGUGAAUUUAUAUAUUCAACCAUUUAAAAAUCUCUAUUUCAUUAGUUUGAUUCAUGAAGAUACGUAUAGGCUCAAUUUUUACAAAUCAAUCCUUCAAUUAAUACCCUUCAACCCGAAAUAGAAGCCACACAAACAUAAAUCAAGAGACUCAACAACUACAAACCCAUUUACAAUCUCGUCACGAGAGUUAAAAUAUUAUCUCCAAAGAAAAGAUGUGCAAGAUAUGGAAAUUUCUGCCUUUUUCUGAAUGCAAAUUUCCAAGCAGAAUCAAAGUUGUAGGACCAAAUUAGGGACAGCUGAUUGUACUUUCAUCACUGAAAUUUCCAACUUCAUUCAUAAACAGCAUAUACAAACUUUUUUUAUUUUUUUUUUUGUGGCUUCAAACACCAAGCCGUAACUAAUACAUAGGCAGUAUCACAAUCUUAGAAUCUUUCGAAACCAUCAAUUUUAAUUUUAAAGAAGGGUGAAACCAUAAUCAAACUCUUCUUCGACGAUUUUUGAAAUAAUUUUAGAAUCUUCGAUUUCAAUUCAGUUUUAGUUUAAGAUCAGAUUUAGACAAUUAAGAUCGGAUUUAGUUUAACAUUCUAACUAUUAGAUCUCUAAUUUAUAAUCUAUAUUAACACUUUAAUCAUCUCUGCUUAUAAUUUCCAUUAACACUUUGGUCCCUCUAUCUGUUUUGAACUAUAGGACCAAAAUGUUAAUAAAUCAUAAUUUAAGAAUCUCAUAGUUAGAUUUUGAAAAAAAUGUAUUCAUAUAUUAAUUUGACUACAAGUCCAGGAUCAAUUUAUUUUUUCUCUUUAAAAUCCAAUUGUUUUUCCAAAGGAGACUUAUUUUCCUUUUUUAUUUGUCUCAAAUUGUAAGUCAUUCUCCUUUUUAAAGGUACAAUUAAUUUCUUAAUUCUUUAACAUAUCACUAAUUAGUAUGUUCGGUUACCAAUAAUUUUUCGACUCUGAUCUUUAUCAAAAUUACUAUUUAAUAUUAAUAGAAGGCUAAAUUUGAAAAAUGUAGGUAAAAUUUAUUGUUCAAACAAUAUUAAUUACUUCUUUUUAAUAUGAAAAUAGAAAUGAGUUUAUCUUCAUGCGAUGAAUGGAGUAUUAUUCAUAUGAGAUUCAUCUUCCAAAUACUGCAAGCAUUCAGCCUCUAAACUAACAAUUUUAUUAAAAAAUUCAAACUCAAUUUAAGUGAGAUGUGACUCAAAAUUAAAACUCAAAACUAUAAAUGAUAGUUCAAUUUGCUACCACUGGUGUAACUGUGAAAGCAAAAUCAUGAGGACUUUUUGGCUUGCGGAAUCUAAUCUAGCAGUCUUCCUUUGCGAAAUAUUGCAAAGCAGUCUUCCUUUUCUUCAUGGACAGAAAGUGAUAUCAUAAUUAGCUCCACCAAUGCAAGUAAAAAUUUAUAUUGUUUUAUUUAUUUAUACUGUCUCAUGCAAAUUAAUAGUUCUUGUUUUAUUGUCUUGAUUUAUAUUUUUAUGAAGUUUCUGGGUUCACUAUAUGACAUGCAGAAAAGUCAUGCAUUAUGGCUAUUAAUAUGUGUAGGACAAAUAUUUAAUAUUUAGAAGAUAAUAGCUGUCUCUUGUCUCUACAUUUCAUUAGUGGUGCCUUGCUGCCUAUAAUUUCCACCACUUCUUUGGUUGCUAUGCUUGUUCUUAUCUCAUGUUUGCUUUCAUAUUCUCUCGUGUUUAAAUUAAUUAUUGAUCUUUGUAAAUAAAUUUUUACUUGUAGAUUUACUAUAAAUUUUAUUUUAAAUAUAUAAGUUAACAUUAUCUUAUAGAUACGACUUAUUUUUUUACUAGCAAUUCAUAAUUUAUUUUAUUAAAUUAUAAAAUUCAAAAAAUAAUUUAAUCAAAACUGAAGAAAAUGUGCUUGUCAAAUCGUCAUAAGCAUAGCUAUAAGCUUGAGGGCACCCAUUCUUGAAAAACAUUGAAUAAUUCGUUGGUUUGCAAGUAGCUGGCGUAUUAAAGUUUUCUGUGCAACAAUAUUCUGGGCGAUUAAAUGCUACACAUGCACUUUUGCAACCAAUCACAGAAUUUCCAUUUGGCCCUUUAAUAGCUAACUCAUUAGGGCAAUCAGAGUUCAUAUUUCUUGCACAGCUACUUGUAAUGCAAGGAUUACCGGAACUGCCACGUGGAGAGACUGACAUUGGCACAUUAAAACCGUCGACAAGACUAACGUCGUAGAAAUCUUGACCACGGUUUUCUGCUAAAGUGAAUUCUAUAAUAGAAACUGGUGGAUUUCCUCCAGCAUCAUUGCAUGGAAACAUAAGUCAACAGCAGCACAAACCCAUUUACAAUUUUGUUAUGGGAAUUAAAAUCUUGUCUCCGAAAGAAGAGAUGGGCAUGAUAUAUAUAUGGAAAUUUCUGGCUAUUUUUGAAUGCUUAUGGUUUCAUUAUUGCAAGCACAACCAAAGUUGUAAGCCCAAAUUGGGCACGGCGGAUUGGUGAAUGCCAGCCGUUAAUAUCGGUUUUCAUCAAUAAAAUAUCCAACUUUAAUUGGACUUACAUAAACAAUAUAGACAGCACAUUUGGGUCUCUAGAAAUUUUUUUCUUCUUUCCUCAACAAGUUUAACAGCACAUUACAAACUCAUGAGUGGUUUGGUUCAAGUCGUAAAUUUAAUGGAUAAUUUAUGGAAAGUCAAAAAUCUAAACCUUAGUGAAGACAUUUAUAUAUAGGAGGAGGCAGCCAUGGACGCACAAACGAAAUUAAUUUUAUAAUAAAAAUAAAAUUUCCAAUUCGUUAAUUACUAUUAUUUAAACCAUAACAAGAGUAAAAUUAAAUAGAAAAAUUUCCAAGAUAGAUAAUUUAUAUAUAGAUAAUAUAUAGAUAAUAUAAUUCAUCAAGAAAAAGAAAAGAUAUUAAUAUUGCAUUAGAAAGAAAAAUAUUUCAUUCUCUCUAUUACAUGAAGACUUUGCUUGGUUUUAUUGAAUUAUUUAAUUAAUCCAAACACUAUUUGUGGAUAUAUUGCAAAGUCAAGCAACCUUAUUUUUCUUCAUGGACAGAAAGUGAUAUCAUAAUUAGCUCCACCAACGCAAGAAAAUGUGCUUGUCGGAUCAUCAUUAGCAUAGGUAUAAGCUUGUGGGCACUCAGUCUUGAAAAACAUUGAAUAAUCUGUGGGUUUGCAAGUAGCUGGCGUACUAAAGUUUUCUGUGCAACCAUAUUCUGGGCGAUUAAAUGCUACACAUGCACUUUUGCAACCAAUCACAGAAUUUCCAUCUGGCCCUUUAGUAGCUAACUGAUUAGGGCAAUCGGAGUUCAGAUUUUUUGCACAGCUAGCAGGAAUGCAUGUAUCACCGAAGCCACCACUUGGAGAGACUGACAUUGGCACGUUAAAACCCUGAAUAAGAUUAACGUCGUAGAAAUCUUGGCCAUGGUUUUCUGCUAAAUCGAGUCCUAUAAGAGAAACUGGUGGAUUUCCUCCAGCACCGUUGCAUGAAAUUUGUCCGGAGCCACAUUCGCCAGUUGCACACGUGAACUUUCCAGUUAAAUCGGUAGAACAUUUUGUUCGGCCAUCCCAUGAAUGGGGCUGGAACAUCUAGAGAUCGGGUUGCUUUUGUUACUAACUCGAAGCCAGUUGUUGACUGCUGAGGCCUCCCACCACCGGUAAGGGUUGCUGGCCAAACUGUGUAUAGACAAUUGUUGGUGAAAGUUAUUGUUGCCGGGUGAACUCCUACAAUUGUACAUCAUUGCGUGAUUAGAUAUUAAUAAUUUAAACCAAAGAUUAUAUAUAUGUGUGUACAUACAUAAAUACAUGUAAUUAAAAUGUAUGUUUAAUUAUUUUCCAUUUCAUAAUUUUUCAAUAUAUACUAGCGAAAAAAAAUUGAAAAUUAAUAAUUUACUUAUGCAUAAUAAAUUUAUAGCAGAUGUUAACUAUAUAUAUUGUUAUUCUAAUGAAGAAGAAGAAAAAGACACUUAAAAUAAGAAAUGUCUUGCAAGCAUUGUGGUUGAAACUCUUGGUAGUCAAAAAAAAAAAAAAAAAAAAAAAAAGUGCUUUAUGUGAUAAGUUAUGUGCAUAAGAUGAAUUUAUAUAUAUAUAUACACACACACACGCACCUACACAUAGCAGAUGAAUAAAUUAAGAAAGUACCAUAAAAGAGAAAAGUGAAGGUAAGGCUCAAGAGGGCUAGAGUUUUCAUUGUUGAAUUUUUUGGAAUGGUUAGUUAGAAGGGAAUGUAUUGGCAUAUAUAGCCUCCAAGAAUUGGAAAAUUCGAGAAAUUUUUAAUGGAAUAAAAGUGGAGUAUGAUUGUCAAAUCACUAAAAUUUAAAUUUUUAAAUUUUUAUAUUUAUAUAUAUUUUUGCAUUUGGAUCAAGAGUGAUAUUUAAAUAUGGCCCUUUCAACAGAAAUAAUAAUUAAUUUUAUAUUCUAAUUUAAAAAAAAAGAGUUUAUUUAUAAAAUAAUUAACUUUUAAACAUUACUUAUUAUCAAUAAAAGGAACAAUUUAAAAAUAUUAAAAAUAAUAAUAUUUUUAAACAUCACCGAAAUUUCCAACUUCAUUCAUAAACAGCAUAUACAAACUUUUAUUUUUUUUUGGAUUCAAACACCAAACCGUAACUAAUAGAUAGGCAGUAUCACAAUCUUACAAUCUUUCGAAACCAUCAAUUUAAAUUUUAAAAAAGGGUGAAACUAUAAUCAAACUCUUCUUAGACAGCUUUUAAAAUAAUUUUAGAAUCUUCAAUUUUAGUUUAAGAUCAGAUUUAGACAAUUAAGCAGUGGAGGGUUAGAUUUACUGAAAAUUUACUGAUUAUGAGUCAUUCAAUCAAUCACCCCUUUUUCAAACAAACAAAAAAAAAAUAAUAAUUCAAAACAUCACUCUAAUCUUUUUUUUUUUUUUUUUUUUAUAAAGGGCAACUGGUGAGCUCCCUUUUUCCUUUGCUAGUUUUUUUAAUUUUCUUUUAAUUUUUUAUUUCUUUUUCAAAUAAUUCUUAAAUUUGUAUUUUUUUUUAUAUAGAUUUAAGUUAUUGUUGCCUUCUUGGGAAUAGUUUUAUACAUAUUUUGGGAUUAGUGUUCCCCAUAUCUUGGAAUUCAUCGUCACAAUGAUUUUAUUUAUAGUAUUUUGUUAUUUAGGCAAUUAUGUAGAAAAAAUUAAAGAUAUUCUCUCUCAUAAAAUGAAGAAAUUAGAAAGUAAUCAAGUCGAAUUUGUCAAAAGACCAUAGAGUCAAAAAGUGGUCAUAAAUACCUACCAAGUGAAGCAAGCAGCCGCCUAUGAUACAUGUAUUAUAUUCUACCAAUUUGAUCAAAUAUUUCAAAUAAGAUUGCAUUUUUUUUUAAAAUGAUUUAUUAUUAGACUUCUUAUACACAAAAAGAAAAAUCAUUCAUCAAUAUUCAUAUAUGUAUAUUGUUCACCCUUAAUGAAAUUCUUCUGAAAAAAAAGUCAAUUACCCUUUAACCCAUAACAGAAGACAGAAGCCACACAAACACAAGUCAAUAGACUCAACACCACCACAAACCCAUUUACAAUUUUCUCACGGGAAUUGAAAUCUUGUCUGCAAAGGAGAUAUGAUCAAGAUAUGGAAAUUUCUGGGUGUUUUCGAAUGGAUAUUUCCAAUCACAAUAACAAUUGUGGGACCAAAUUAGGCACAGCUGAUGGUGUAUGUCACCCAUCAAUUCUGGUUUCCAACCUUAAUUGGACUUCCAUAAACAGAUAGACAGGGCAUUUGGGUGUCUAGUACUCUUUUUUAGUGGCUUCAAAAAUUAAAUCGUAACUAGUAAUAAUUUUUAUUUUUAAAGAAGGAAAAAAAUAAAUUGGUCUCUUUGUUAUUAUUAAAUUAAUAAAUGAGGAUCAUUAUUUUCAAAAACUAACUAUAAAGUCAUUAAUUUAUAAUUCCGUUAACGCGUUAGUCCUUUCAUCUAAAAUAGCUUCUUUUAUUUAUCAAUUAACCGAGAAAUCGGCCUCCAAAUUAUAGUCAAACUAACUAUUAGAUCUCUAAUUUAUAAUCUAUAUUAACACUUUAAUCAUCUACUUAUGAUUUUCAUUAACACUUUGAUCCGUCUGUCUGUUUUGAACUAUAGGAUCAAAAUAUUAAUAAAUCAUAAUUUAAGGAUCUCAUAAUUAGAUUUUGAAAAAAAGGUAUUCAUAUAAUAAUUUGACUACAAGUCUAGGAUCACUAAUUAGUAUGUUCGGUUAACAAUAAUUUUUCGACUCUGAUCUUUAUUGAAAUUACUAAUUAAUAUUAAUAGAAGGCUAAAUUUGAAAAAAUGUUGGUAAAAUUUAUUGUUCAAACAAUAUUAAUUACUUCUUUUUAAUAUGAAAAUAGAAAUGAGUUUAUCUUCAUGCGAUGAAUGGAGUAUAACAUUGAAUAAUUCGUUGGUUUGCAAGUAGCUGGCGUAUUAAAGUUUUCUGUGCAACAAUAUUCUGUGCGAUUAAAUGCUACACAUGCACUUUUGCAACCAAUCACAGAAUUUCCAUCCGGCCCUUUAACAGCUAAGUCAUUAGGGCAAUCGGACUUCAUAUUUCUUGCACAGCUAGCAGGAAUGCAUGUAUCACUGGAGCCAGCACGUGGAGAGACUGACAUUGGCACGUUAAAACCGUCAACAAGACUAACAUCGUAGAAAUCUUUACUGCCGUUUUCUGCUAAAGUGAAAUCUAUAAGAGAAACCGGUGGAUUUCCUCCAGUACCGUUGCAUGAAAUUUGUCCGGAGCCACAUUCGCCAGUUGCACAUUUGAACUUUCCAGUUGAAUCGGUAGAACAUUCUGUUUGGCCCCAAAACCUUCCGGUUAAUGGGGCUGGAACAUCUAGAGAUUGGGUUGCUUUUGUUGCUAACUCAAAGCCAGUUGUUGACUGCUAAGGCCUAUUACCACCGGUAAGGGUUGCUGGCUAAACUGUGUAUGGACAAUUGUUGGUGAAAGUUAUUGUUGCCGGGUGAACUCCUUCAAUUGUACAUCAUUGCAUGAUUAGAUAUUAAUAAUUUAAACCAAAGAUUAUAUAUAUGUGUGUACAAACAUAAACACAUGUAACUAAAAUGUAUGUUUAAUUAUUUUCCAUUUCAUAAUUUUUUUAUAUAUAUUAGCCAAAAAAAUUGAAAAUUAAUAAUUUACUUAUGCAUUAUAAAUUUAUAGCAGAUGGUAACUAUAUAUAUUGUUAUUCUAAUGAAGAAGAAGAAAAAGACACUUAAAAUAAGAACUGCCUUGCAACCAUGGUGGUUGAAACUCUUGGUAGUCAAAAAAAAAAAAAAAAAAGGUGCCUUUAUGUGAUAAGUUAUGUGCAUAAGAUGAAUUUAUACAUACAUACACACACACACACACACACACAUAUAUAUAUAUAUAUAUAUAUAUAUAUAUAUAUAUAUGUGUGUGUGUGUGUGUGUGUGUAUGUAUGUAUAAAUUCAUCUUAUGUAAAAGAGAAAAGUGAAGGUAAGGCUGAAGAGGGCUAGAGUUUUCAUUGUUGAAUUUUUUGGAAUGGUUAGUUAGAAGGGAAUGUAUUGGUAUAUAUAGCCUCCAAGAAUUGGAAAAUUCGACGACGUAUGCUUUGGGGUAGACUAAAUAAGUUGUAUUCCAUUAGCAUUAGCUAUAGUGUUCUCAGUUGAAGACUUGAAGAGAAAUGAAAAUGGAAUGAAAAA
rnacentral:lncRNA from 1 species